rnacentral:lncRNA from 1 species
CAAAUCCACAUGGCUUUGGAGCACAGUGGGCCAAGCAAACCACCUCCAAAGGGCUGAAUUUGUCUUACAGGUGCCAGUUCAUAAGAUGUUCCCAGGAUCAUGUUAGAGACCAGGUGUAGUCAUGUCACACCCUGCACCUGGGUGUGGCUGUGUGUCCAGUUCUCACCAACUGAAGAAUAAUGAACCAACAAGAGCGAAGAACAAGUCAAAGAAAAUGGCAAAGAAGAUAUUUCUUUGGGAAAGUG